UACGGGGGGGGCAAGUGUUAUUCAAUCAAACUGGGCGUAAAGCGUCUUUAGGCUGUUUAUUGCGAGUUUUUCACUAAAGUACAAAGAGUAAUCUUGUAAUGUUGAAAAAGACCAGUAUUCUUGAGUUUUGAAGGGGUAAGUAGUAUUUCUUCAGUAAAGUUAAAAUUUAUAGAUAGAAGAAGGAGUACCAGGGGAGAAGACAACUUACUAGUUAAAACUGACGUUAAAGGACUAAAGCAUAGGGAGCGAUCGGG
rnacentral:rRNA from 1 species